AAAGGAAUAGACGGGGACCCGCACAAGCAGUGGAGUAUGUGGUUUAAUUCGAAGCAACGCGAAGAACCUUACCAGGUCUUGACAUCUGAAUGACCGCUCUAGAGAUAGAGUUUUCCUUCGGGACAUUCAAGACAGGUGGUGCAUGGUUGUCGUCAGCUCGUGUCGUGAGAUGUUGGGUUAAGUCCCGCAACGAGCGCAACCCUUGACUUUAGUUGCCAGCAGGUAAGGCUGGGCACUCUAGAGUGACUGCCGGUGACAAACCGGAGGAAGGUGGGGAUGACGUCAAAUCAUCAUGCCCCUUAUGACCUGGGCUACACACGUACUACAAUGGCCGGUACAACGGGAAGCGAAGGAGCGAUCUGGAGCGAAACCUAGAAAAGCCGGUCUCAGUUCGGAUUGCAGGCUGCAACUCGCCUGCAUGAAGUCGGAAUUGCUAGUAAUCGCGGAUCAGCAUGCCGCGGUGAAUACGUUCCCGGGUCUUGUACACACCGCCCGU
rnacentral:rRNA from 1 species